rnacentral:rRNA from 1 species
ACUGGGAAACUGGUAUUUCUUCGGACAUUUUGCAAGGUGCUGCAUGGUUGUCGUCAGCUCGUGCCGUGAGGUGUCGGGUUAAGUCCCAUAACGAGCGCAACCCCUAUUGUUAGUUGCCAUCAGGUCAUGCUGGGGACUCUAACAAAACUGCCCGCGUAAGCGUGGAGGAAGGUGGGGAUGACGUCAAAUCAGCACGGCCCUUACGUCCAGGGCUACACACGUGCUACAAUGGCCGGUACAGAGGGCAGCCACUUGGUGACAAGGAGCAAAUCUCAAAAGCCGGUCUCAGUUCGGAUCGGAGUCUGCAACUCGACUCCGUGAAGUUGGAUUCGCUAGUAAUCGUAGAUCAGCAAUGCUACGGUGAAUACGUUCCCGGGCCUU